GCGGAGGCACUGGGUAGGUAGGUCGUCGCGGUGGUUGAGGCGGUGGAGUGGUGCCUUGUGAUGUCGCGGAGGUAUAAGUGAUACGGUAGGUAGGCGGUAGUGGUCGCGGUCUAGCGAGUUCGGUGGUCUACCGGACAGACUAGGCGGCGCGCUGGUUGUGGAGUGUGGGUGCGACGAUGGAGAGGAGGUACCAGGAUGACGACGAGGAGAGAGGGAUCGCGGUGGUAUGACAACGAAAGAGGGUACGGGGACGACGACGAGGAGAGAGACGAAGAGGAUGAGACGAAGGGGAUUUCGACAACGACGAGAAGUAGAGGGCGCGGGGGACGACGAGAAGGAACGGCUUCGAGAAGAAACUUGGAGAGGAGGAGGGUUGCAGGGGGACGACGAGGAAGGGAAAUGUAGGACGAAGGCGAGGGGUUGAAGAGAACGACGAGGAAGAGAGACAUGGAGAUGACGACGACGAAGAAGUGGAUGGAACGACGAAGGGACGAAGAAGACUUAGUGAAAGAGGAAGAGGUUGUGAACGAUGACAAGAGAGAGGGAGAGACUUUAAAGAUACAUAAUCUACACUCACCCAAGGACACUUUAAGCCUGAACAGGAACAGACCUACAUAAGACAACUAAACGUUCUUGAUCUUGUUAAAAACACGCACAUGUACACACACACACACACACUUUAAAUACACUUGUAAAUCUUACUUCUGAACUAUUAACCAUUAGACAAAAUGAUAAAGUUAUAUACACUUAAAAGACAGUCAAUCAAAGGGUACUAUAAGACUAAUGGAUAACACUAGUUAAACACAACAAACACGAGAGACAGUUCACUCAACAAACUUGUAGAAAUUAAGAAUCAGGGACACAAUCGAUACAUGCACACUUAUAUAUAUACGAACACUACACUUCAUGAAGACCAGUACAGGGAACUAGAAUUAAUAAGAGAAAGUAUGAUCAACAACUUGUAAAUACACAACCACAGAACAUCAAAAGGAACAAAGAGUACAGACGGACACGACCAUAAAAUCAAGGGUUUCAUUUUUUUUAUUUUGUGGUUUUUAUAUAACUCAUGUAAAAUAAACAGUUACUAAAAGAGCUUGUUUGAACGAAAUGAAAACAAAAAGAACGUUAUAGUUUUUGGAAAAACAGACUAGAUCGAAAUCGGCUCGUGCUGACAGCAGCGGAUCAGGGGCACCUCUUGUGCUGUGAGCAUCAAACCCGCAUUUUUGGGGUGAUGUGAAUGUUAACUAGUAAAACCACGGCAACGGCCCCUGAUCGCAGCUCAUUGGCACAAUCCGAUAUCUGAUCCAAAAAGAAGGAAAAGAUCAAACACGGUAUAUAAACACUAUAUAAAGAUUGGUGAUUGGGGACAAGAUCAAUCAUAAAAACAAACAAACAAAAGAAAAGGAAAAACGUCCAAUCUUGGUAGAAGAGCCUAUACCGAAUGAUAAGUCUAGUAGUACGAAUACGCUCGUUGUGAUGUUUGUUGUGCCUUUCAUAAGUUCUUGACUAUUCAUUCAAAAGGGUAGUUAAUUUACUAAAUCGAGUCGUCACUCUUCAUCAAAAACUCCUAUCCGGAUCGAGAAUACUAGGAACAAGAUCUCCGGUAGGAAUACAACGAGGAUGAACGGUAUAAACACCUAAAGUUCCGGUAAACGGGCGACUUACAGUCGCACCAAUGAGAGUGUGGGGUCUAACAAAACCGUACUCGAAGCGAGUUCUCGUAUCGAGUAUGGUUUUGUUAAUGAGUGUACCCACCGGACUUUUGGGCUUAUACAGUAUAUCCUCGUUGUUGGGACUCUAGAGUGGCGAACGAAGAUCAUUAGUAUACGUCCCUAAAUCCAUACUUCUCCUCUUGGUGUUGAUACAACAACCUUUAUACGGGAUCUCCGUUAUUAUUUACCUAAUAAUAAUAUAAAGGAACAAGUACUAUUAACAGAAAAUAAGUACGAUAUUAACAUAAUAGGCCUUUAGCAUUAUGUGCACACUUAUGUAUCUGGUGUUAUGCAGGGAUCAUUCGGAGAUCAACUGAUCGAGCAAGCAGUUGUCUAUCAGUACCAAAGGACUGAUACCUGUAAUCUACAGCAACUGUUGCCCUAGUGUAGUAAUCCUCUUACUACACUACCUGUUCUGGGUUAGGAUUCGUAUCGUGUUCUAGCACAUCAAGCAAAACGAUCUCGAAAAGGUUACAGUUCAUAGAGAAGGAAUCUGGUACUCUAGCACAUUGAGGGCCUAUGGUAUCCUAACGAAACCCACAUGGUUUGCAGUGUUGCAUUGACCCACUGAUAUUUCCACGUGAUGUCCAUAGAGGCUUUCACAGACAACCCAACUGUGCCUAGCUCUGAUCCUAAACAGUGAGGCAUACUGCCUCUCCAUAGAGACCCGGGUGAGCCAUUACGUAGUAGUAUUACUCGAGUUUCACUGGUUCACAAACCAGUGCCCUAGUACGUAAUGCCAUGCUCAUUUCACUGAACGGCCAUUACUCUGACUUGCUCCAUAACCCUAUGGCUGCUAGCUCAGAGCCCGAACAUUGCAUGGCUAACUGUUUCCCUUAUCAUAUGCCCCAACGAACUUAGGAGCUGUAGCACCAAGUAGGCUACUGUAGUAGCUCCUCGUACACCCUCGGUUGUACCCAUAGGUCUAGGGCGACAACCAAUAACUGGACUCUCGGCAGAGCCAGUACAAACGCACAGAGGGCUUGAGCAUCCCAGAUGUGUGAAUUCCAAGCCACUGCGAUCCCAAUAAUCCUUCUGAACAUACACUAAUGGCUUACAACAAGCCUCAGGGCCUAAUCUAGGGCCUGCAGUGUUCCUCAAGGCCUUCCCAGACCUCCAUUUCUAAAUAUAUACCCUUCAACAGUACGCCUGUGGCCUUUCAAAGCCCCCGUAUAGCCAUAACAUGGCCCCGGUGGCCUCCCCAAGGCCCCCAGGUGGCCCUCCCCGGUGGGGAGAACCACCCGGUGUACCCGGUGCACCCCGUCCCGUGGUCGGGGACCUCCCGACCCGCGGGGGGGGGGAACCCGGGUACGCGGAUCCCAACUCCCCCUUGGGAUUCCCCCGCGUGGCGGAACGAACCCCCCGUUCGGGGGAGGAACCGACGGCGGGGGGGAGAUCUAGAGUAGAUCUCCCCCGGCCGGGGGAAGGGGGAAGGGGAUAUUUAUCUCCCCGCUACCCUCCCGACUUGUGGACUAGGUUCCGCGUCGGGGAGGGGAGGGGUUGUGGAGAGGAGGAGGCAACUCACGAACCGCUUCGGGACAGCCUCAUGACGGAGAGGUGGUAGUAGUUCGGCAGCACGACGACGACCUCGGAAGAAGGAGUUGGAGAGGAAGAGGGAACGACCUAGUUCUUCCUCCUCUGCAACAGACAUGGCAUGCACACAACUUGCGCCUCCACGACAGGCAAGUCGUGAACCAGUAGCCACUAGACUUAGUGCUGCUCAUGCUGAGGUAGUAGUGGCAAGGGAGCUUGCGAAGGCAUGCGCUAGAUGUUCACCUCUACAACGGUUACCUCAAUUUACCAGGAGGUAAACCAGUUGGUUGUUGAGGUCGUUGACGAUUCGUUAGAGUACACGUUCACGGGGUUUUCUACUUAAACUACUAUAUCUGUUCGAGUGUAACGAAUCAGAGUUCAAGUGAACCUCACAACUCCUACUAGGUUAAUCCGGCUACUAUGAUCUACUUUACUUCUUAUAGUUCUCACCUUUUCUCGAUCACCUACUUCAUUCCUUCUAACUCUUCUUGUAGUUGUGACCAUCAUGAUAGAGUAGAGAGGAACUCGACUCACGACGACUCUAAAGAUCAGUAUGUACACUCCAAGGUUGUGGCAGUGUAAAUCGACUCGUUCUAUCGCUCUCGGGUCUCCUUCUCUAUGGAGUCUAACUUCUACAUGAGCUUCGGUUCCGUGUUCUACUAGGUCUCGAGCUUGUUGUUUCACUAGUUCAACUUCUGAGCAGUAGAUGAUGAGGACUUCUUCAUGUUCUUCUACUACAUCUACUUCUACUUCUUGGACUCUGCGUAAACGGGUAGCAGUAUGUCCUCGCACUAAAUCGUCCAAAUAGGUUAGGAGAACUACUGUACGAAGGAAUACUCUAGAAACGACCAUGAAAGGUAACACAAUAUGGUAGUUAAUUCGAUCUGAACUUUUUAAUAAACGAACCUGUACUAGUAUGUAUGUAACAACCACCGUAACGAGAGUAAGGACUACUACUGUGAAUGAUAAGGGUACGAUCAGAACUCGAAUUACUAUUUAAAGUAGGAGUACAAUCACAGCUGGAACGACUAAAGAUAGUAGGAUUUGUACACGAAAUAUCGAUACGAAUACAUUAACCUAUAAGCUAACUACUGAACCUCCCAUAAUAGGGAUGGUGAACGUAACAGAGAAAACAACUCUCACGAAAAUCCAAAAACGAACACGUGCUAGGUAAUGUACGACUGGUCCAAACUCCACUGUAAGGAACCCUGGGACCACCUGAGUUUCGUACCCCUACUCCUCUUCGUUCCCCCGUGUGUGCUCCUUCCCUCUUCGACCUCGUCCGUACUCCUAUCUCUUCGUUUUCCUCUCCGCGACGUCAACCACUCCACUAGCUCUCUCACGAUGUAGUAGUUUCGGGCCACUCGACAAAGUACUGGGUGAGGCUCAUAUAGUAGGUAACUAUGUACGACUUUAGUUUACAAUAAACCCAACGAACUCAGUAAAGAAUUUAUGGCAGGGUGACUUAGAAUGGAAGCUGUAUCCCACUAACUACACUUAUACACUUGACUCACAACUUACGGAACAUUUGAUCACUAGAUAUGUUACGAACGAAACGACUUUAACCACUUUCGAUAAUCAAAACUCACGAGUUUAGGGAUCAUGUGAUCUUUUGAAUUAGUAAAAGACGAAAAUGGAGCUAUGUGGAUCUAGUGGUGCAAAUCUACGACUUAAACACGGUUCACAGUAGGGUAACUCUCGUUAAUGGAUUGGUGAUACCUAAUCGUACGAUACAAGGGACCUAGCCAUCGUACACUUGGUCUGUACCUCUUCACUACUAAGGACAAAAACAAGAAUACGCAACAAGUAAAUUCUAUUCAUUAUUACAUAUUUAUUCAGACCGAUGGAUGUCAUCGUACAGUACAAGGGCCCUAGCCACCGUACACUUUAGCCCAAUCGAACCCGUCAUUAAUUAUUAUUAUUAUUACAUUAACAGCUUGGUCCACAUAUGGUACAAGAGCCCUAGCCACCAUACAAGGAAACCCCUCUGUUUGUUUGAAUUUUUUGAUUAUUAACCAGCUCGGUCCACAUAUGGUACAAGAGCCCUAGCCACCAUACAAGGAAACCACUCUGACUAUUUUAUAAUAGUAAUGAAGGAAGUUUAAAUUAUUCACCAAGUUGGUGUAACAAUAUAAAGACGUUUAUUCACUAAAUUAAGUUCAAGGAAAACAAGAGUCCUAGUACGAGAGAAAUCCUUGGAAAACCGUGUCAGUCGUAAACUUGAACGAUUAGAAGUAAAUAGUAACGUUUUCAAAUUUUAACGGCUCAAAUUAUCACAGGAUAACUAUACAUCGUGAGAAUUGGUAAUUAAAAGUGAUCGGUUCAGGUUUCGUACGUAACAAACCUCUAGAUGAAGUGAACCUGUAAGAGUUCAGUCGAGUGAUAAGUGAUAGGACAAGAACAGUAUAAGGAAACGAACUCCUGUUCGUUUCUAAAUUCAUACCCCCUUGAACUAUUCUCGUAAAGGAUAAGUAUUAAACCGUGUGUUUAAAUCGUAAAUGACACUAGACUGGUAGUUAAAAACCAUACUUGACAACGUAUAAACUUGCUUUUAGCACAUUUUCCUAGUAAAUGAACAAUGAACAAAGGAAACGUCUUUUCACGUGUUUCCGUGAUAGUUGGCUUUUCUUUCCUCCCAGGACUCAACUAUCGUCUAAUUUCGAAGUUCCCCCGUUCGAGUUCUACCCUCCUGGUUGAACCCUUCUUUCUUCCCUUCAUCCUCCCGUUUUAACGUUUCACCGUCUAGACUAGCUCUCCCCAGUUUAGGGAUCGGUAGAGGAAGCUAGGGGACCCCCGGACCAAUGUGUAGGGAGAGAGGAGUAGGGAGGAAGAGGUGGAGGCCGGCGGCGGUGCCGGUCCGGCCACACCAACACGCGGAGGCGCUGGGUAGGUAGGUCGUCGCGGUGGUUGAGGUGGUGGAGUGGUGGCUUGUGAUGUCGCGGAGGUAGAAGUGACGCGGUAGGUAGGUGGGAGUGGUCGCGAUCUAGCGCGUUCGGUGGUCUACCGGACAGACUAGGCGGCGCGCUGGUUGUGGAGUGUGGGUGCGACGAUGGAGAGGAGGUACCAGGACGACGACGAGGAGAGAGGGAUCGCGGUGGUAUGACGACGAAAGAGGGUGCGGGGACGACGACGAGGAGAGAGAUGAAGAGGAUGAGAGGAAGGGGAUUUCAACAACGACGAGAAGUAGAGGACGCGGAGGAUGACGAGAAGGAACGGCUUCGAUAAGAGACUUGGAGAGGAGGAGGGUUACAGGGGGACGACGAGGAAGGGGAAGUGAAGGACGACGGCGAGGGGUUGAAGAGAACGACGAGGAAGAGAGACAUGGAGACGACGACGACGAAGAAGCGGAUGGAGCGACGAAGGGACGAAGAAGACUUAGUGAAAGAGGAAGAGGUUGUGAACGAUGACAAGAGAGAGGGAGAGACUUUAAAGAUACAUAAUAGACACUCACCCAAGGACACUUUAAGUCUGAACAGGAACAGACCUACAUAAGAUAACUAAACGUUCUUGAUCUUGUUAAAAACACGCACAUGUACACACACACACACACAUUAAAGACACUUGUAAAUCUUACUUCUGAACUAUUAACCAUUAGUCAAAAUGAUAAAGUUAUAUACACUUAAAAGACAGUCAAUCAAAGGGUACUAUAAGACU
rnacentral:rRNA from 1 species